rnacentral:rRNA from 1 species
UACGAAGGGGGCGAGCGUUGUUCGGAUUUACUGGGCGUAAAGGGCGCGCAGGCGGCUUUGUUGUCAGGCGUGAAAGCCCCGGGCUUAACCUGGGAACUGCGUUUGAUACGGCAGGGCUAGAGUUCGGGAGAGGAGAGUGGAAUUCCCAGUGUAGAGGUGAAAUUCGUAGAUAUUGGGAAGAACACCGGUUGGCGAAGGCGGCUACUCUGGACCGAUAUGACGCUGAGGUGCGAAAGGCG